UACGGGAGGCAGCAGUGGGGAAUAUUGGGCAAUGGGCGAAAGCCUGACCCAGCAACGCCGCGUGAGUGAAGAAGGUCUUCGGAUUGUAAACUUCUUUUAUGAGGGACGAAGGACGUGACGGUACCUCAUGAAUAAGCCACGGCUAACUACGUGCCAGCAGCCGCGGUAAU
rnacentral:rRNA from 1 species